UCCCCCCAGUUCCAUCAACCUCUACUUCAAUGUGGGUAGCAGUCCAGGCGUUGGAACCGCCACCUGCCAGGCCCACGAACGGCAUGACCGUGUUUGUGCGCCACUCCCCCUCCUAGAGCACCCCUGCCCCUCCAUCACCAUUGCCACGGAGGCGUCGUCCAUUUGCAACUCGCGCAAGCUGCAAAACGACACGACAGCGGUGCGAGUAAGCUCCUCCUGGCCUCCCUUUGCCGGACCGCCCACUGCAGACUGCCGGAGCUCCCAGAGUGCAACAACGGAUGUUUGCGCUCGCAUGGCUGCAGGUCGACGCAAUGCAAGCGCAAACAGCAGCUCCAGUCAUAGCCUCCAACGUAGGUAGUGCAAAAGCCGUUGCCUCCACUGUCUGCAAGAUGUUCGACAAAAUGUGCAUGUACUAGCUAGCUCAGCGGUGGGCACGGCAAAGCCGGCAGCUUACACAGCAACAGCAACCAUCAGGGAUAAUCUAACUAAAGUUCAGCAGCUUAUCUCUUGGGACUGCUCUACCAGAAACACAAGGUUGCAGAGACAAAUUAAUAUUUUCUCCUGAAUACUAAUAUAACUUAUAGUAUAUCUGUUUUUCAAGCAUUUGGAUUGAAGGUUUCAAGAAAGGGCAGAUCAGUACAGACAUUGAUUCUUGGUUCUUGCAGUUCAAACCCUUAUUGCUUCAGUUCCCAUUCAGGGACCUUGAUAGUGGAACCACUUAAUAAAGAUUUCUAGAUUACAUUGGGUUCAGUAUCAAGUGAUCUGGCUUC